ensembl:lncRNA
GGGGGGGGGGGGGGGGGGGUCACCACGAAGACUUUGUGCUUAGGGCACCAAAAUAGCUAGCAACGGCCCUGACAAUAAGGAUAUAAUAUGAGCAUGCACGUGCACACACACACGCACACAUACACACACACACACAUGAAUUUGCAUGUCUUUUGCAUCGCCCUGACCCACACACGGACCUGCGCCCAGAACCAAAACUAGUGUGAGGGUUCAGAUUGGACCAAACUGGAUCUUUGAUGGGACGGUGUGCAAUCCUGGUCCUGACGGGACUCUUGGUCCAGACAGAACCUGGUUCUCGCUCUCGGAUCAGGACUCACCCUGCUGGCUGCUCUCUCUGUGAACACUGCCUUCGUCCUCCUCUUCCUCCUCUCCUUUACUCUCUCUGGACAGCAGCAGACGGAACAGGGCACAGUAACGGGUCAUGGUGCUGACCGGGUUCUCCAGCUGACAGGUAAUCAUUCCGAGCACGGAUCCAUGACCGAUUUACUUCAGAGAGUGUGAGAGAAGGUUCAGGUUUCAGCUCAGGAAAAGGCUGGGGUCAGAGGUCAGCAGCAGAACCACCAGACCAUCUGGGAACCAAUCAUGAAGCAGCUGUUCCUCUCUGCAGCAGCGGGGGGGCAGACAUGAGUCACAGUAAAGCUGAAAGGAACUGAGAAGAUCUAAAGGUCCUCAGAUCCACAUAAGUGUGGUAAUGAUGCCGGACCAUGAGCAUCUAAACACCUUCAUCACCUCUGUGGCUGCUGGAGGCGCUUUGCACCACAAAACUCACAAAAUCUGUCAGAGACGUUGCCAUGGAGACCGACAGGAUCCAUGUGAGAAAGCCCCACCCACUUUGGAGCUACCACUGUCAGUCUUUUAGUAAACGCAUCAGCAGGUGGGAGGCUCCGGUGAGGUCUGCUGCAGGAAGCUGCAGGUGGCAGGUUGAGCCGAAGCAUCUCAGAGCAUCCCGUUCGGCAGCUGAUGAAGCUGAUCUACAGCAGGCAUGUGAAGCAGCCUCAUACAUUAUUAAAAGGUCUGCAGGACUCUGGCGUGCACCGUCUCCAUGGAGACGCUCUUAAAGGGCCACGCCAAAUUUUGUGAACAUCAACAGGCUCACACCAGGCUGGGUCAUCCUGACCAGAACUCCCAGAAUCUGUCUUUUUUUAAGAAAUCAGCAGCCAGUUUAGAUGUUUACCCACAGUCAGAAGUGGUUUCAAUCCUGAAUCCUGCUGCAGCUAACAUUAGCAUUGAGCUAGGUUACCUAUAACUGCCGUUAGCAUGGCCCCUCUGCUCCAUGUCAGUGUCUCCUCUCCUACUGGGAGAAUGCGAUGGAGGUCUGAGGAGAUGAGAGUGGAGAAGUGAGUGGGCAGCAGGAUGUGGAUGUUCGUAGAGGUGGAAGCUGUGGGUCCACCACCUCAGUGGCCUAGUGGUAGAGUGUCCGCCCUUAGUGAUGAUGAUGUGAAGCCUUUUGAACCAACAAAGCUUUACAAUCCAAUUGUAUUGAAAAAUGGUUCAAGGUUCGAUGCUUCAAAACUCUGGGAGGACAUCUGCUGGUUAAUGUUUGUAUUUCAUUGUAUUGUCAGCCAAUUCUACUGAAAAUGAAUGGUGUAUUGAACUUUAUGGACAAAUAAAGCAUUAAAAAGCUUCCUCAGGAUCAUAUAAUAGUAUCUUGGAUUUGAACAUUACAUUAAAUAUACUAAAAUUGCUUUUCUUGGUGUGAAUACUUGAAAUGAAACAAUGUUUAUUUUUAUGGGAUACGUGAUGAAAUAUAUCUAAUUUACACAUAUUAACAUUCUCUACAUAUUCAAAUAUUUUACUUUUCACAUUUCUAUUGGAUUAUUAGGCAGGAAUAAUUAGCUCAAUUUAUGUAUCUUUUUUAGAAAUAGAGUAACAAAAUGAAGAUUAGAAAAUUCACAUAAGGAUAGGACAUACUAAAUUCCAUUACACGUACAACCAAACUGAAAAGCUCAUCAACUAUUAUAUUAAUUACCAAUAAAAGAAGAAAAAUCAUACCAAACUAGAUUUUAAUUUAAUUAAAGGAAAAUGACAGACGGUCUAAAAGAUAUA